rnacentral:rRNA from 1 species
GUGAUGGCGUGCCUUUUGUAGAAUGAACCGGCGAGUUACGAUCUGAUGCAAGGUUAAGCAGCAAAUGUGGAGCCGCAGCGAAAGCGAGUCUGAAUAGGGCGUUGAGUAUUUGGUCGUAGACCCGAAACCAGGUGAUCUACCCUUGGUCAGGUUGAAGUUCAGGUAACACUGAAUGGAGGACCGAACCGACUUACGUUGAAAAGUGAGCGGAUGAACUGAGGGUAGCGGAGAAAUUCCAAUCGAACUUGGAGAUAGCUGGUUCUCUCCGAAAUAGCUUUAGGGCUAGCCUCAAGUGAUGAUUAUUGGAGGUAGAGCACUGUUUGGACGAGGGGCCCUCUCGGGUUACCGAAUUCAGACAAACUCCGAAUGCCAAUUAAUUUAACUUGGGAGUCAGAACAUGGGUGAUAAGGUCCGUGUUCGAAAGGGAAACAGCCCAGACCACCAGCUAAGGUCCCAAAAUAUAUGUUAAGUGGAAAAGGAUGUGGCGUUGCCCAGACAACUAGGAUGUUGGCUUAGAAGCAGCCAUCAUUUAAAGAGUGCGUAAUAGCUCACUAGUCGAGUGACACUGCGCCGAAAAUGUACCGGGGCUAAACAUAUUACCGAAGCUGUGGAUUGUCCUUUGGACAAUGGUAGGAGAGCGUUCUAAGGGCGUCGAAGCAUGAUCGCAAGGACAUGUGGAGCGCUUAGAAGUGAGAAUGCCGGUGUGAGUAGCGAAAGACGGGUGAGAA